rnacentral:rRNA from 1 species
UACGUAGGGUGCAAGCGUUGUCCGGAAUUAUUGGGCGUAAAGAGCUCGUAGGCGGUUUGUCGCGUCUGCUGUGAAAACCCGAGGCUCAACCUCGGGCCUGCAGUGGGUACGGGCAGACUAGAGUGCGGUAGGGGAGAUUGGAAUUCCCGGUGUAGCGGUGAAAUGCGCAGAUAUCGGGAGGAACACCGGUGGCGAAGGCGGUUCUCUGGGCCUGUACUGACGCUGAGGAGCGAAAGCGUGGGGAGCGAACAGG